rnacentral:rRNA from 1 species
UUGAAUGAAGACCGUACCGUAAACCGACACAGGUGGGUAGGAUGAGAAUUCUAAGGCGCUUGAGAGAACUCAGGAGAAGGAACUCGGCAAAAUAGCACCGUAACUUCGGGAAAAGGUGUGCCCUUUGUAUGUGUAACGCCUCGCGCGUGAAGCAGAAUAGGGUUGCAAUGAAAUGGUGGCUGCGACUGUUUAAUAAAAACAUAGCACUCUGCAAACACGAAAGUGGACGUAUAGAGUGUGACGCCUGCCCGGUGCCGGAAGGUUAAAUGAUGGGGUGCAAGCUCUUGAUUGAAGCCCCGGUAAACGGCGGCCGUAACAAUAACGGUCCUAAGGUAGCGAAAUUCCUUGUCGGGUAAGUUCCGACCUGCACGAAUGGCGUAACGAUGGCCACACUGUCUCCUCCUGGGACUCAGCGAAGUUGAAAUGUUUGUGAAGAUGCAAUCUCCCCGCGGCUAGACGGAAAGACCCCGUGCACCUUUACUGUAGCUUUACAUUGGACUUUGAUAACAUUUGUGUAGGAUAGGUGGGAGGCUUUGAAGUGGAUUCGCUAGAAUUCAUGGAGCCAACGUUGAAAUACCACCCUGAUGUUGUUGAGGUUCUAACCUAGAUCCAUUAUCUGGAUUGGGGACCGUUAUGGUAGGCAGUUUGACUGGGGCGGUCUCCUCCCAAAUUGUAACGGAGGAGUACGAAGGUACGCUAGGUACGGUCGGAAAUCGUGCUGAUAGUGCAAUGGCAAAAGCGUGCUUAACUGCGAGACUGACAAGUCGAGCAGAUGCGAAAGCAGGUCAUAGUGAUCCGGUGGUUCUGUAUGGAAGGGCCAUCGCUCAACGGAUAAAAGGUACGCCGGGGAUAACAGGCUGAUUCCUCCCAAGAGUUCAUAUCGACGGGGGAGUUUGGCACCUCGAUGUCGGCUCAUCACAUCCUGGGGCUGUAGCCGGUCCCAAGGGUAUGGCUGUUCGCCAUUUAAAGUGGUACGUGAGCUGGGUUUAAAACGUCGUGAGACAGUUUGGUCCCUAUCUGCCGUGGGCGUUGGAAGUUUGAGUGGACCUGCUCCUAGUACGAGAGGACCGGAGUGGACGCACCUCUGGUGUACCGGUUAUGACGCCAGUCGUAUCGCCGGGUAGCUAUGUGCGGAAGAGAUAACCGCUGAAAGCAUCUAAGCGGGAAACUCUCCUCAAGAUGAGACUUCCCGAGGGUUUAACCCUCCUAAAGGUUCGUCGAAGACUACGACGUUGAUAGGUCGGGUGUGGAAGCAUAGUGAUAUGUUAAGCUAACCGAUACUAAUUGACC